rnacentral:rRNA from 1 species
AACGAACGCUGGCGGCAUGCCUAACACAUGCAAGUCGAACGAGACCUUCGGGUCUAGUGGCGCACGGGUGCGUAACGCGUGGGAACCUGCCCUUAGGUUCGGAAUAACUCCCCGAAAGGGGUGCUAAUACCGGAUAAUUUCUUCUGACCAAAGAUUUAUCGCCUUUGGAUGGGCCCGCGUUGGAUUAGCUAGUUGGUAGGGUAAAAGCCUACCAAGGCGACGAUCCAUAGCUGGUCUGAGAGGAUGAUCAGCCACACUGGGACUGAGACACGGCCCAGACUCCUACGGGAGGCAGCAGUGGGGAAUAUUGGACAAUGGGCGAAAGCCUGAUCCAGCAAUGCCGCGUGAGUGAUGAAGGCCUUAGGGUUGUAAAGCUCUUUUACCCGGGAUGAUAAUGACAGUACCGGGAGAAUAAGCACCGGCUAACUCCGUG